GACGAACGCUGGCGGCGUGCUUAACACAUGCAAGUCGAACGAAGUGGCGAACGGGUGAGUAACGCGUAAUCCACCUGCCCUUCAGGGGGGGACAACAGUUGGAAACGACUGCUAAUACCUCAUACUGAAGGAGGGGAUUGCGUCUGAUUCGCUAGUUGGCGGGGUAACGGCCCACCAAGGCGAUGAUCAGUAGCCGGUCUGAGAGGAUGAACGGGCACAUCGGGACUGAGAACAGGCCCAGACUCCCACGGGAGGCAGGAAUGGGGAAUCUUCCGCAAUGGAGGGAAGUCUGACGGAGGAACGCCGCGGGAGUGAUGACGGCCUUCGGGUUGUAAAGCUCUGUUAAUCGGGACGCGUUACCGGAAUAGAAAGCCACGGCUAACUACGUGCCAGCCGCCGCGGUAAUUC
rnacentral:rRNA from 1 species